GCAGUCGAACGGAGAUUACAGGCGGAAGUUUUCGGAUGGAAGCUUGUAAACUUAGUGGCGGACGGGUGAGUAACACGUGAGCAACCUGCCUAUCAGAGGGGGAUAACGAUUGGAAACGAUCGCUAAUACCGCAUGACAUAGCGGAACCGCAUGGUUUUGUUAUCAAAGAUUUUAUCGCUGAUAGAUGGGCUCGCGUCCGAUUAGAUAGUUGGUGGGGUAACGGCCUACCAAGUCGACGAUCGGUAGCCGGACUGAGAGGUCGAACGGCCACAUUGGGACUGAGACACGGCCCAGACUCCUACGGGAGGCAGCAGUGGGGGAUAUUGCACAAUGGGGGAAACCCUGAUGCAGCGACGCCGCGUGAGGGAAGACGGUCCUCUGGAUUGUAAACCUNUGUCUUCGGGGACGAAACGAGACGGUACCCGAGGAGGAAGCCACGGCUAACUACGUGCCAGCAGCCGCGGUAAUACGUAGGUGGCAAGCGUUGUCCGGAAUUACUGGGUGUAAAGGGAGCGUAGGCGGGCAGGCAAGUCAGGCGUGAAAUAUAUCGGCUCAACCGGUAACGGCGCUUGAAACUGCAGGUCUUGAGUGAAGUAGAGGUUGGCGGAAUUCCUAGUGUAGCGGUGAAAUGCGUAGAUAUUAGGAGGAACACCAGUGGCGAAGGCGGCCCAACUG
rnacentral:rRNA from 1 species